rnacentral:rRNA from 1 species
UUAGUGGCGCACGGGUGAGUAAUAUAUAGAUAACGUGCCUCUUAGUCUGGGAUAGCCAUUGGAAACGAUGAUUAAUACUAGAUACUCCUUCUAACUCCAAUGUUAGUCGGGAAAGUUUUUCGCUAAGAGAUCGGUCUAUAUCCCAUCAGUUAGUUGGUAAGGUAACGGCUUACCGAGGCAAUGACGGGUAGCGGGUUUGAGAGGAUGAUCCGCCACACUGGUACUGAGACACGGACCAGACUCCUACGGGAGGCAGCAGUGAGGGAUAUUGCACAAUGGAGGAAACUCUGAUGCAGCAACGCCGCGUGGAGGAUGCCGCAUUUCGGUGCGUAAACUCCUUUUAUAUGUCAAGAAAAUGACGGUAGCAUAUGAAUAAGCACCGGCUAACUCCGUGCCAGCAGCCACGGUAAUACGGAGGGUGCAAGCGUUAUUCGGAAUCACUGGGCGUAAAGGACGCGUAGGCGGGAAGCCAAGUCUGAUGCGAAAUCCUAUGGCUUAACCAUAGAACUGCAUUGGAAACUGGUUACCUAGAGUAUGGGAGGGGGAGAUGGAAUUAGUGGUGUAGGGGUAAAAUCCGUAGAUAUCACUAGGAAUACCGAAAGCGAAGGCGAUCUCCUGGAACAAUACUGACGCUAAGGCGUGAAAGCGUGGGGAGCAAACGGGAUUAGAUACCCCGGUAGUCCACGCCCUAAACGAUGUUCACUAGUCGUCGGAAUGCUAGUCAUUUCGGUGAUGCACUUAACAGAUUAAGUGAACCGCCUGGGGAGUACGGUCGCAAGAUUAAAACUCAAAGGAAUAGACGGGGACCCGCACAAGUGGUGGAGCAUGUGGUUUAAUUCGAAGAUACGCGAAGAACCUUACCUAGCCUUGACAUUGAAGAAACACUUUAGAGAUAGAGUGGUGCCCUUCGGGGAAUCUGAAAACAGGUGCUGCACGGCUGUCGUCAGCUCGUGUCGUGAGAUGUUGGGUUAAGUCCCGCAACGAGCGCAACCCUCGUCCUUAGUUGCCAGCAGGUUAAGCUGGGCACUUUAAGGAGACUGCCUUGCAAGGAGGAGGAAGGUGAGGACGACGUCAAGUCAUCAUGGCCCUUAUGGCUAGGGCUACACACGUGCUACAAUGGGGCGUACAGAG